GGCGGCAUGGCUCAGGAGGUAGAGCGGGCGGCUUAGAAAGCAGAAGGUUCCCAGUUUGAUUCCUGGCUCCUCCA